ACUCUCUUAGUAUUAUUAGUACAACUGACUUCCAAUCAGUUAGUCUCGGUUCAGCCCGAGAGAGAGUA
rnacentral:tRNA from 1 species